GACGAACGCUGGCGGCGUGCUUAACACAUGCAAGUCGAACGAUGAAGCCGGAGCUUGCUCUGGUGAAUUAGUGGCGAACGGGUGAGUAACACGUGAGUAACCUGCCCUUGACUCUGGGAUAACUGCGGGAAACUGUAGCUAAUACCGGAUACGACCCUCGGAGGCAUCUCCUGGGGGGGGAAAGAAGUUCGGGCAAGGAUGGACUCGCGGCCUAUCAGCUAGUUGGUGAGGUAAAGGCUAACCAAGCGGACGACGGGUAGCCGGCCUGAGAGGGUGACCGGCCACACGGGGACUGAGACACGGCCCAGACCCCUACGGGAGGCAGCAGUGGGGAAUAUUGCACAAUGGGCGCAAGCCUGAUGCAGCAACGCCGCGUGAGGGAUGACGGCCUUCGGGUUGUAAACCUCUUUUAGCAGGGAAGAAGCGAAAGUGACGGUACCUGCAGAAAAAGCACCGGCUAACUACGUGCCAGCCGCCGCCGUAA
rnacentral:rRNA from 1 species